UUGUAUCUUUCCUUUGAUUGAAAUCUUAUUUUGAAGUGCGUAGUAAUGUUAUAAAAACUUCCUUAUCUACUGAGGUUAAGCCACGUUUUGUAGAGUACACCAUUAUUAUUAUUAUAACUAUUAUUGUUAUUUCUACAUCAGAUGGUGUUUGUAAGUCUGGCUUAACCCAACUUAUUGAUUCAAUUUGUUGCAAAUUAUUUUGUGGUAAUUCGAAGUCAAACUCCUCUAAUGAGGCAAAAGAUUAAUGGGUGUUUGGCAUAAAAUAAAACGAAAUCUAAUUUCAAUACUAUUUCCAACGAUAACCAUUGCAUUGAUUUACGCAGAUUUGCGUCAUACCCGUUUGUGGAAAGAACAGGUUGCUAAAGAGAAAUUCCAGAUAGAAAAUUCAUAAUGAUAUUCAAAAAUCUUCAUCCCAUGCAAGUUAAAUAUCUGAAACAUAUACCAAUUUACUUGACUCCGCUAUACAUUGGUUAUGGGAUUGGCGCGUUCCUUGAAAACCAUGAAAAUGAAAGAAUGGCCAGAUUUCGUGAUAAAUCAGCACUUUAUGGUAGAGAAAAAAAACCGGGUGAACCACCGUCUUGGCCAUGAAUAUCGACCUUUACUCAACUAAUAAUACUUGAAAUUAAUUAAAUAACAAUGUAGAAAGUAUCAUUUAAAAUUUAAAAUACAAUUGAAAUGAUAU